UACGGAGGGUGCAAGCGUUAUCCGGAUUCACUGGGUUUAAAGGGUGCGUAGGCGGGCAGGUAAGUCCGUGGUGAAAUCUCUGAGCUUAACUCAGAAACUGCCAUGGAUACUAUUUGUCUUGAAUAUUGUGGAGGUGAGCGGAAUAUGUCAUGUAGCGGUGAAAUGCUUAGAUAUGACAUAGAACACCCAUUGCGAAGGCAGCUCGCUAAACUGUAACUGACGCUGAGGCACGAAAGCGUGGGGAUCAAACAGG
rnacentral:rRNA from 1 species